GUCCCUGUAGCGCAACGGGUAGAGCGUUGGACGUCUCAUCCAAAGGUCGUGGAUUCGAAUUCCACCUGGGAUG
rnacentral:tRNA from 1 species